UGCAGUGAUGACUCCUUAGACUAGAGUCUCUGAUGACAUUAUGAUGUUAUUCACAUUUAUCUGAGCA